rnacentral:rRNA from 1 species
AGCCGCGGUAACACCAGCUGCACAGGUGUAUAUUAAAGUUGUUGCAGUUAAAAAGCUCGUAGUUGGAUAUCUGUCUUGACUGACCUAGCCCUAGGCCUUCGGGUUCUGGCGUGCUGGUUGUGGCGACCUCUGCUUCGGCGGUUGUGUUGCCCGUCAUGUCGGACAUACUUCAGGAAAUCUAUCCUGCCUUUAAUUAGGUUGGGGUAAGGAUCCUGAUCGUUUACUUCGAAAAAAUUAGAGUGUUUAACGCAGGCUUUGUGUCGCGAAUAGAUUAGCAUGGAAUAAUAAGAUAGGACUUCGGCAUCGUGCGUGGUCGCCCUUGGUUAAGGUCGUGUUGUGCUUUUCGGAGUGCGCGCGGUUGGCGCCUUGGGGCUAACGGCUGCGGGCUGUUCUAUUUUGUUGGUUUCUAGAGCUGAAGUAAUGAUUGAUAGGGAUAGUUGGGGGUGCUCGUAUUGCCCGGGCCAGAGGUGAAAUUCUCGGAUUCUGGUAAGACGAACUUAUGCGAAAGCAUUCACCCAGGAUGUCUUCUUUAAUCAAGAACGAAAGUUGGGGGAUCGAAGACGAUCAGAUACCGUCGUAGUCUCAACCGUAAACUAUGCCAUCUCAGGAUCGGGCGUCGUUGUUCAC